CGGAUUACAGGAGGAGGAUCGAGGACCACCUGGACAGCAACAACACCAGGCAGGUAUAGCAGGGAAUCCAGAACAUUACCAACUACAAGACCAACCCAGGGGCUGCUGAAGGUGAUGUCUCGCUGGCGGAGGAGCUGAACCACUUCUUCGCCCGUUUCGAGGCAAAACCACCAGAUGCAGCAACGCCACAUCCAGCAGCCAACAGCGACAUCAUCCUCACGGUAGAGGAGCACGAGACUGGUGCUCAAAUUGGAAUACCACACUCAACCUGCCUUUGGAUUAAGGACUUAACGGACCGCACUCAGAGGGUAAGUUUGGACCUCCACCGCCUCAGCACUGGCUCCCCACAGGGCUGUGUGCUGAGUCCCCUGCUCUAUACCCUCUAUACCAGUCAUACUCAAGUAGCGGCCCGCGGGCCACGGGUGUCUAUUAAUGGCCCUCGAGCUGUUUUGAAAAGUUUUUUUAAUUA